rnacentral:lncRNA from 1 species
UUGUAGAUGAUGGUACACAAGCAGGCGAGGAAAGUGGAAGGCAAUCAGCAUCCAGAAAUGACCGGAUUUUGGCAGUGGCUCCCAAUUAUGUUGUAGAUUGAUUUGGAAUUCUUGUGAACAGGACAGAAAAUCUGGGGCUGUUUGAGCUCAAUGGCAGCGCGGCCUAAAGUACUAAGAUUGGGGAAAUUGUGUUUUCUAUUGUGAAAGCUGAGAAAUCUUACACCCUUUGUGGAAAUGUUCUACUAUAGGAGACUAACUUGUUCAAGUUAAACUAAUUGUUGUACCUGAGUUUGAGAAUGUGAAGUUAUCAAGCCUAUCUGUACUAGUAUUAGUAUUUGUGUUUGUUUAUGU